CGUGAUGUGACGUAGUGGUUCU
rnacentral:miRNA from 1 species